GACGAACGUUGGCGGCGUGCUUAACACAUGCAAGUCGAACGGAAAGGCCCUGCUUUUGUGGGGUGCUCGAGUGGCGAACGGGUGAGUAACACGUGAGUAACCUGCCCUUGACUUUGGGAUAACUUCAGGAAACUGGGGCUAAUACCGGAUAGGAGCUCCUGCUGCAUGGUGGGGGUUGGAAAGUUUCGGCGGUUGGGGAUGGACUCGCGGCUUAUCAGCUUGUUGGUGGGGUAGUGGCUUACCAAGGCUUUGACGGGUAGCCGGCCUGGGAGGGUGACCGGCCACAUUGGGACUGAGAUACGGCCCAGACUACUACGGGAGGCAGCAGUGGGGAAUAUUGCACAAGGGGCGGAAGCCUGAUGCAGCAACGCCGCGUGCGGGAUGACGGCCUUCGGGUUGUAAACCGCUUUCGCCUGUGACGAAGCGUGAGUGACGGUAAUGGGUAAAGAAGCACCGGCUAACUACGUG
rnacentral:rRNA from 1 species